rnacentral:SRP_RNA from 1 species
GCCAGGCGUGGUGGCGAACGCCUGUAGUCCCAGCUACUCAGGAGGCUGAGGCAGAAGAAUUGCUUGAACCUGGGAGGCAGAGGUUGCAGUGAGCCGAGAUCAUGCCACUACACUCUAGCCUGGGUGACAGAGCGAGACUCUGUCUCAA